AAGCAUGGUUUAACAGCAUAUUUGAUAGCAUCUUUUUUGUUGUCACAUGGUUUUGACAUAGAAAGUCCCAAAAUAUAUUGGUGUCAAUUAUCCCCCCAAUUUUUUGAACUUCAUCGUGACAAGGAUUUACAAGUUUGUCACCGAUACUUUUCAUGUUGACAAGCCGAUCACUACCAGUUGUUUGAGUCCAACGACGUCGUUUAGUAACACCAACGAUAUGAAAAUCCCCAAACCUUUUCCAAGUCCAGGUCCCCAUUUUCACUUACCCCUCGUGGCCAACUUCACUCUUCGGACUGCACCUCCUCUCAAUCUCUCCCUCUCGAUCUCCUGCUCCGCUCCCAAUCUUGGUUUCUUACUCGCCGUCUGCCUCUCGAUCUCUGUCCCCCUGGCCCGCUUCUCCCUUUUUCUAUGGAUCUUGGUUUUACUGCCGAGAGCUCCGUAUGGGAAGGAUGAGAGGCAAUUCCAAGGCUUACACUGUGAGCAAUUAAAGCUUCCUGAAAAGGCCGGAUAUGUUGCCAGCCCUACGGUUUAGACAGCAAUCUAUCUUCCUUCCAAUGAAGCUGUCGUUGUCAAGUGCUUGGAUCUCGAUCGCUGCGAUAGUAAUCUGGUUACCUGCUUAUUAUUAUUUUCUUUCUCUCUAUAAUUAUUAUUUCUUUUUUUUUCUCAGAGUUUUUCAUUUUGAUUCAAAAUUUUGACUUUAGCUAGAUCUUGGUUUUGUUUUGGAAUUGGAUAUUUUGGAAUUCGAAUUCUCUUUGAUUUGUUCGGUUCCAUAUGCUGAGUUUGCAUAGGGGCAGAGGGUCAUUUAUCUUGGUGUGUUUAUGUCUAACAUCUUUGGUGAUUAUUCAGUGUUCAAAGUAGUUUAUUUACUUAUUUAUUUUCUGCCCUGGCCUCAAAGGAGUCUAAGGUAAUUGGGUCCAGGCGCAUGGGAUGGGAAAUUUGGGUGUGAAACAUAAUGAGGAGUACCGUAGGUCCUUGUAUGGUGAAAUCACUCACAAGGCUUUGCCGUUUUGAUGCUGUUGGCACUCUUCUUGUUCACAUGGCUAAACUAUCCUCGCUCUUAUAUUUUCAUUUUAUUUUUUAUUUUUUAUUUUGAUAUUGUAGCUUCUUCGUAACUUUUAUUUAUUUAUUUAUUUUUUGGUAACGUAAUUAUAUGCUGAUUGUGUGUUUGAUGUUUAUGUAGCUACUAAAGGAGCAUUUUAGGCAAGAAGGCUGGUAUUUGGAUUUCUCAGUAUGUGAGGCUCAUACUAUAUUUUUAUUUAUCUUUUUCUUGUAUCUAGCUGGAAACAUAAACCAUCAUGUUUGAAUGUUUGCUUUUCAUGCUUAUGUUAAGAAUGUGAUCUUGGCGUUGACACAUGCAAAUUUAUUUGAGUUUUGAAGGUCCCUUCCUAGAUAUUCUAGAUGGAUAAAGUACGACUGCUCGGUCUCUGAAUUAUUGAGAUAUUAAUUCUAUCUUCUAGGAAUUAUCUUCAUUUUAAUUUUAGUGCCUAAUGUGGUGCAUGUUAUAUUAGAGACCAGAAAUGCCUUUUAUCUUAGUGCUUCUUUGCUGUGAUUGUAAGUUUUACCAGUUCAAUUUUCCGAGAACGUUUAUUUAACAUCGAAAGAGAUAAUGGCAACUAUAUUAUAUGUGAUUAUGUUGACAUUGUAAUACAAAAAUAUUGAAGUUAUUAUAGAGCAUAAGUGCUUUUUUGUACAUUGUUCUCAUGCUUGCGAUGGUAGGAUCGUGUUUACUGGAUGCAUAUUAUUCCAACAUAUGUGUGUCUCUUUGUUCUACAUCAUGAUAAUCGAGUGGUGUUUGUCCAUUCCGAAUCAUUCUUACAUCGAGAUACUGAGCCAAGACAAUUUCCUCAUGGAUUUAGGGAGGCGUGCAAAUCAGGUAUGUGGAAAAUAUUUUAAAAUUGGAAUUUUCUUUCACAUUCUACAGGGCAUUCCUUGAUACCUGCUUCCUCAUGGGUUUAUAUCAUUGACUUUGGUCUUGCUAAAAAAUAUAAAGAUGCUUCAACUCGUCAACAUAUUCCUUUGAGGUCCAUAACUUUCAAACGGGAGCUCCAUUUUCGAUGUACUACUUGUCUACGGACUCGGGUCGAUGUGAACUUCACAACGGUGCCUCGGUCAACCUAUAAUUCUCACCGAGUCAAAAAAUCAAAGUUUCACCCUUCUAGGUCAAUGAUGAUCAAACCCGGUCAAUUUGAGAAAUUUUUGACGUACUUCGGGGUGGGGUGUUACAAUUGGGUCACUAACAGACAAAAACUUGGGACUGGUUGGAUACUGAUAUAAAAUUGAUGCUUAAAACUGCUUAGAACCAUAGCUUUUUAUCCAUAACUUAGAAUUUGACGUGCCUCCAGUUUAUGAACUCGUAUUGGCGAGCUCUACACAAUGGUACAUCAGUCAAACCAAAAAUCUUAACCAUAGAAAAAGUCAAUUUUAGACUCACAUACUGUUCACUUGGUCAAAUCUGGUCAAACUUGUAUAACAUGUGUAUUUUGGUACGGAUUGUUACAUAAGAAGUAUAAACUAGGUGGAGAAUUCUAUAUGUAAGCCUUUCUAUGGGCUUGCUAUGUGUUUGGAAAAUGCAAUUGAAUCUGAGAUCGAAUCUGUUUAAGACUCACUAAUGUUGACCAUACACAAUCAUAUAUUAAGAUACUAUUUCUGCUUCUUACAAGCUUUGGUGGUCAUUUAUACCAGAUUUUUGUGUUUUUAUUUACCAUGAAGAUCUGGUUGUAAUCCUCUAAUCACAAAAAACACAGAAAACCAACAAAGAAAAUAAAAAAAGAUAAAACACAAAAUAUUGAGAAAAAAAAAGAUGUAUUAUUCUCUUUGAAAUUAAUAUAUAGAAAAAACUUUUCUAAAAACUCUCUCUGGAGUCUCUAAAAAGAUAUCUAAUACACCAUACAAUAUACCAGUAGUGUCAAAUGGUACUCAGCAUUUCAAGUACUACUCAGAUGGAGAUGUUAAAUUGAGAAACCUGUAAUUGGUCACCUUGGCAUCCCAAGGCACCGAUUGCUAAUAACUUGCCACGGCUUAACUAGUCGUCCUUCAACCGAGAGGUAGGGUGGCUGAUGCUAUCACAGCAAAAUACUUGCCUACCAUCUCUCACCACAUAUUACAAAAGACGCCCAUAUACAUACAACCUACGUACUAAUCCAUAAUAUAAUAACCAGUCAUCCUACAGCCAAGGGGGGCAACUGAUGCUCACUGUGCAAAAUACUUGCCAACCCUUAUGCUCAGAACUCCUACAGGAUGACCAUAAAUAUUUGCACGCUAAACACAAAUAAAGUACAAAAUAUCAGUACUGUAUGAUGCAUCUACAAACUACUAACCGUACAUAAAAUAAAUAUAUAAAAUAUGUGUGUGUGUGUGUGUAUAUAUAUAUAUUUAGUUACCAAAAGUGUCAACUCCUCAUAAUUAUACUUUUAAAAGCGUAAUUUAAUUAUUUUAAACAAAUGAAUAAGUAAACAAAUAAACAAAUAAAUAAGUGGAUGAAUAAUUAAAUGAAUAAAUAAAUAGAUGAAUAAAUAUAUAAAUUAACUACAUAAUUAAAUAAGUAGAUAAGCACAAUAUUAAUUUUUUCUUAAUUCAACAUAAAGAUCUAAAUGCAUAAUUAAAUUCCUCAAUUUCCUAAAUCGGAUUCUUUAAAUCCAUCAGAUCUUAUUAAAAUUAAUUAUUUCCAAUAAGUACUAUUUACACAAAAUUUUACAUACAUAAAUAUAUUUUAUCAUGCAUAAUAAAUUUAGCAAUAAACUCAAUAAGAAAUUUAACACAAUAAUUUCUUUAAGCCAUAAAAUUAUUCUUAUACAACAAUAUGUUUAAAUUUGCAUAGAUUGGCACAAUAAAAUUAAAUAAUAAUUUUUCUAAAAUUUAAACACAAACAAAAUUUUGGAAUAUUUUAAACAACUCAAAUAAUUAAUUAUACCUAUCCGAAAAUAGAUUUUGAAAAUGGGCCACUCACUUUAAUGAUCUUGUCUAUCCUUGCUCUAUCGCAAGAUUCGCCGCAAGUCCCACCAAUGCCUAAUAUACUUCAAAAAUAUUAUCCAAUUAACAUAUAUAUUUUCCCAUCAUAUUGGAAUACUUUAAAUAUUUUAAAACUCACUUUCGCUAACUCAGGAUUCCAAUGUUGGACUCUAAAGGAGCCAGGCUACACAGUAUACUUUUAUGAAAUUGAAUAUUCCAUUAGCAUCUACUACCCAUUGAGAACAUACAUGUGACAAUUUUUCUUAGGAAAAACUUUCAAUAUAGUCCAAUUUUUACAAUAAUUUCUAAAUUAGCUCAAAAAUGGUGCAAUAUUAAAUACAUAACCAUAAUUAGUAAACUAUAUAUCAAAUGAAAGCUUGUAAGACAAAGAUCAAAGAUACUUAGCUCAAAUACCCCAAUCUCAUUAUCGGUGGCCAAAAAACAGCCAAAAAGUUUUGGCCAAAUUUCCAUUCAAUAUAUCCCUCAAAUGAUUUAGAAUUUGAACAAAUAGAAGCCGUUUACAAAAACUAGGGGGAGAGACCCAGCUCGUGGCCGGAAACCGUUGAAACACCAGCGAAUGGGUGGUCACCGGUCACCCACAAUGGAGCAUCGAUCCAGUCGCUUCUGUGGGCCAAAUGGCUAGAGACUCAGUCGUUGGCGUUGACCAAUCGUGGGCUUCUAUUCCAGCUAAUGUGUAACACUCCGUCCCGAAAUACGCUGAAAAUUUCUCAAGUGGACCAGGUUUGAUCGUCGUUGACCGAGAAAGGGUCAAACUUUGACUUUUUGACUUUGUGAGAAUUCUAGGUUGACCGAGGCACCAUUGCAAAGUACACAUCGAUCCAAGUUCGUAUACUAGUAGCACGAUGAAAACGGAGCUAUGGUUUGAAAGUUAUGGGCAAAACAAGUUAAGGUUUGAACUAUCUAAGGGUGUCGGAGUUGAUUUUUUAUUUGUGUAAAAUUGAGCUUUGUCCUAUGCAUGGUUAUGAAGUACUCGUCGAUACGAGUUCAUAGACUAGUGGCACGUCUAAUUUGGACAUUUUGUUGAAAAGUUAUGGACCUGUAAAGUUUUUCGAAUACCGUAAUAUUUUAAUAUUAUUUUUGAAUAUGUAAACAGUGUGUGCCAUGUGUCAAAAUCUAGCCAACCCGUGAGUGCACAGUGACACCCAUGGGAGGCAUUUUGAUUGGGCAAAUGGUUGUGUGGGGGCAUGGGAGGAGUGAGGUGGAGGAGAGAGAAAGAGGAGGGAGAAAGAGAUGAGAGAGAGUCAGGACCGGCCACCACAGAUCCAUCCUUUUCUGGCCACCCCCGAUCUACAUGUGCUGGACCACCGUGAAGCCAACCUACAAACCGGCUGGCUAGCAAAAAAUCACAACCAACCGACCCCGACACGCCUGGAUAGAGGUGACUUCCGUCGGCGGCAUCGAUUCCUUCUCCGGUCGAUUUCUCCCAAACCAGACCUCCAUUUGCCUCACCGCUGGUCCCGUUGAGUCACAUGUCCCCUGAUCUACCUUCCCACCAAAAAUCACAGCCAAUGGCCAUCGGACAUGCCGCUGAUGGUGAUGGUUUUUGAUGACCACAGUGGCUCGUCGGAAAACUUGAUUCUGGCGAGUUACCGAUUACACUGCCCACCUUUUCCCACUAAUCCAAGCCCCCUGAACCCAAAUUCGAGGUUAGUUUUCUCCAAUUCAUGGAAGUUUGUGAGAUCUGAAGAUUUAAAGAUCGAAACCUUCCCGGUGAGAUUCCGACCACCUUGGGUCCGAUUUCCGGAAGGAAUACGUGUGGAUUGUGGAAUCGAUCCUAUGGAGGAUCUUGAUUUAAUGGCGUGCUCAAGAUGCACCCAUAUAGCACUGGUGUUCUAUGGUUGUGGAUAUGAUUACCGCGCGGGUGGAAUGGAUAAGCGCACAGGUUGUAAUGUCUACCGUGAAUUGAUAUGGAUCUGAGGGUAGGCAAGUUUUAUUUAGUGCACAUAAGUCGCCCCCCUCCAUGGCCGGGAUGACGGUUUAAGCAGCGGUGCUGUCAGGACGCCGAAGCGACUGUACGCAAGUUUCUCUCUUUAACCUCCCGCCAGAUGAUGCUAGGGAUACUGGGUAUCGUAGGCCAUCACUGGUAUAUAGUAUGAUGCGUUAAGUUAUUUUGUGGAUCCGGUUUUCAAAAUGUAAUGUUUUCAAAAUUAUAUUUGAAAUUAAAAGUAUUUAAUUGUGAUUUUAUUAUUUAUUAAAAUUGUGUCCAAAAAUAUAUUUUACCAUGUUUUCAAGGCUUACAUAAAUUUAAGAUUAUCAAAAAGAUUUUCUAUGCUAUCUAGUAUUAUUUUAUUAAAUUAUUGAGUAUAAUUUUUAUAAAUUAAUUAUUGAAAUCAAUUUUGUUUUACGUUAAAUCCCUUUAUUACUAAAUUAACUUGUUGCAUAUUAUUUGCAUUUUAUUUAUCAAUAUUCAUUGGAUAUUCAGUUGGCUGAUUAUUAAAUGUCAUGAUUAUAUGUUGAAUUAAAUGUUGGCUUGGUUAAUUUAUUUGAUUAUUUAUUAUUAAUUAAUAAAGUUCAUCUUAUCGUUAUAUUAUUAUUAUAAUUGUGUCAUAAUUAGGGUCAUUCACUGAGAUGAUUAGCAUCUCAUAUUCUUAACUUCUAUUC